rnacentral:rRNA from 1 species
UGGCGGACGGGUGAGUAAUGUCUGGGAAACUGCCUGAUGGAGGGGGAUAACUACUGGAAACGGUAGCUAAUACCGCAUAACGUCGCAAGACCAAAGAGGGGGACCUUCGGGCCUCUUGCCAUCGGAUGUGCCCAGAUGGGAUUAGCUAGUAGGUGGGGUAAAGGCUCACCUAGGCGACGAUCCCUAGCUGGUCUGAGAGGAUGACCAGCCACGCUGGAACUGAGACACGGUCCAGACUCCUACGGGAGGCAGCAUGG